rfam:Gossypium hirsutum cultivar TM-1 chromosome 24, whole genome shotgun sequence
AACCCAUGAUGAGGACACCUUCUCAAAAGAUCCUUAAAUCUCUCUCAUGCAUCCUAUAGUGUCUCAAGCUCAAAUUGAGAAAAAGAAGAGAUGUCAUUCCUCAACUU